AUGCGGUGCUGUUGUGCGGUUUCCAAUGAGAAAAUGCAGCGUGGUGACCGGAACAGGGCCAACGCGGUCGUGUGUGGUGGACUAGAACAGGACCGGUGUGGUCAUCACAAUAUCGACGCACUCCGGCCCCCUGUAGCGUCACCGGCAGCCACCACUGGGCGUUCGACUCCGACCUCCAUCUCCAGCCACUCUCGGUUUUGCUUGCAGGUAUUUGUAUGA